rnacentral:misc_RNA from 1 species
AACCAACGAUUUAAAAGCUACAGUUUCUGUACUUUAUUGGUACUUUAACACACCUUGACAGCCUAAGGGCUGCUAUUUUGGCUUGGCCAGGUCCCUCUUGAAGGGGCCUGGCC